rnacentral:snoRNA from 1 species
UGCCAAGCAGAUCAUCAAAAGUGUUAUUUCUGAAAUAGGGCAAAUUCCUCUAUCGGCUUGGCUAGAACAACAGCAGGUUUGCUUUCAUCAUUGUAGACUCGUUGCAGUGAUGACAAUGAGGCCUGGUAUAUUC